UAGGGAAUCUUCCGCAAUGGACGCAAGUCUGACGGAGCAACGCCGCGUGAGUGAAGAAGGAUUUCGGUUCGUAAAACUCUGUUGUUAGAGAAGAACAGCGCAUAGAGUAACUGUUAUGCGUGUGACGGUAUCUAACCAGAAAGGCACGGCUAACUACGUGCCAGCAGCCGCGGUAAUACGUAGGUGGCAAGCGUUGUCCGGAUUUAUUGGGCGUAAAGCGAGCGCAGGCGGUCAAUUAAGUCUGAUGUGAAAGCCCCCGGCUCAACCGGGGAGGGUCAUUGGAAACUGGUUGACUUGAGUGCAGAAGAGGAGAGUGGAAUUCCAUGUGUAGCGGUGAAAUGCGUAGAUAUAUGGAGGAACACCAGUGGCGAAGGCGACUCUCUGGUCUGUAACUGACGCUGAGGCUCGAAAGCGUGGGUAGCAAACAGG
rnacentral:rRNA from 1 species